CCUACGGGUGGCAGCAGUGAGGAAUAUUGGUCAAUGGACGAGAGUCUGAACCAGCCAAGUAGCGUGAAUGAUGACUGCCCUAUGGGUUGUAAACUUCUUUUAUAUGGGAGUAAAAUGUUCCACGUGUGGGUUUUUGUAUGUACCAUAUCAAUAAGGAUAGGCUAACCCCGCGCCAUCAGCCGCGGUAAUACGGAGGUUCCGAGCGUUAUCCGGAUUUAUUGGGUUUAAAGGGAGCGUAGGUGGAUUGUUAAGUCAGAUGUGAAAGUUUGCGGCUCAACCGAAAAAGUGCAGUUGAAACUGGCAGUCUUGAGUACAGAAGAGGUGGGCGGAAUUCGUGGUGUAGCGGUGAAAUGCUUAGAUAUCAGGAAGAACUCCGGUGGCGAAGGCAGCUCACUGGACUGCAACUGACACUGAGGCUCGAAAGUGUGGGUAUCAAACAGGAUUAGAUACCCCAGUAGUC
rnacentral:rRNA from 1 species